AUGCCUCUCGCUCUCGGGCUCCUAAUAGCAGCUCCUGAUAUUCUCGCUGCUUGCCAGGGACUGUGCCCUCCGCUAGAGAGCGCUAUUGGACCGUUUUCGCGCAUCCAACCCUCUCACUGCAGUCCCCACGCUCUAACAUUGACUGUCUCGCCGCAAAAGGCGCUUCGAGCAGCAUUGGAUCGAGUAACCAUGUCAGGCGUUUCCUCAGACACUCUGCGCGAUUCAGCCUUCAGAAUCCGAGGAACGCUACAAGGGUCUGGCAAAGACGGCCCGUUUAUGACGGCUCAUACAGCCGCCGCUUUUUCGCUAGCGGCAGAGCCCGAUGUUCAUCUUGUUGGAUUAAUUCCUGCCGUGGACACGCUUCAGGAUUAUACACAACGAGAUGCAACGGAUUUGACGCACGCGCUUCCCCGGCUUACGGACACCGCGAGCUUUCCGUAUUUGGGCAUGUUAACGCAUAUGAAAACAUUGCAAAAGGCGGAAACCUUGAAACUACUGACGCUAUUUCGGGCCGCGUGGGAACGCUUGCCCGGCAUUUCACAAUGGGUGUUACGCACGAUUCGUCUCGGAUACACCAUUCAGUUUCGAAAAGGCCCGCCUCCUUUCCGCGGAAUUCUUCCCACGGUUGUGAAACCAGAGGAAGUCGCGGUGCUGCGGCAAGAAAUGACAGCUCUGCUGAAGAAAGGGGCUAUAGAAGAAGUACACCCCUCUCAGAUGGAGUCAGGUUUUUACAGCCGCUAUUUUGUUGUACCAAAAAAAGGGGGCGGUUUGCGACCCAUAUUGGAUCUACGCCGUUUGAAUCUUGCACUCAGGACAUGCAAAUUCAAGAUGUUAAUGGUAAAGUCCAUUUUGUCUCAGAUUCAACCAAACACUUGGUUUGUCACGAUCGAUCUGAAGGAUGCAUAUUUUCAUAUUCAGAUCAUCAAGAGACACAGGAAGUUCCUCAGAUUCGCUUUAGAGGGCAAAGCGUAUCAAUACCGUGUUCUUCCGUUCGGCUUAGCCCUGGCUCCCCGAACUUUUUCAAAAUGCAUGGACGCAGCUCUGGCCCCGUUGCGGCUCCAGGGCGUUCGUGUGUUGAAUUACUUGGACGAUUGGCUGGUGCUAGCUCAAUCACAGACUCAAGCACUCUCUCACCGAGAUUUAGUGCUGAAUCAUUUAAGAAGCCUGGGCUUAUGCACGAAUUUCCAGAAGAGUGUUUUAAUCCCCUCUCAACGGAUAACCUUUCUGGGAAUAGAUUUGGACUCUCGCGCGAUGACAGCCAGACUAUCUCUCCCGCGCGUUCAGUCUCUCACGUCAUGCGUGCGUCACUUCAAAGUAGGCCGCACAGUGACGGUGAGUUUGUGUCUCAGGCUGUUAGGUCUGAUGGCAGCGGCAUCCCCUGUAAUUCGUCUGGGCUUACUUCACAUGCGCCCUUUUCAGUGGUGGACGAAAAGUCAGAACAUUUCACCCCGUUGUUUUCCGCAUCGUACGAUUUCGGUGACACGGAGGUGUGUUAUGUCAAUAAAACAGUGGAUGUCAACCGAGUUCCUUCUAGCCGGAGUUCGGCUGGGGAUUUGUGCUUCCCGAGAGACUGUCACGACGGACGCGUCUUUGACCGGUUGGGGAGCUGUUUGUCAAGGGCGCCCAGCUCAUGGAGUGUGGACAGCGACACAACGCGGUUGGCACAUAAACAGGUUGGAACUACUGGCAGUUUUUCUAGCUCUCCAGUAUUUCUCAAAUCUGCUGACCGGCCGUCAUGUACUACUCAGGUCAGACAACAUGGCGGUUGUGUCAUACCUGAAUCAUCAAGGAGGGUUACGCUCUCGCCCCCUGUGCAGGCUGGCGAGGAGUAUUCUUCUUUGGUCUCGGAACAGAUUUCUAUCGAUCCGAGCAGUUCAUGUCCCCGGACGUUUGAACGUCGGAGCGGAUCUGCUAUCCAGACAGACUCUGGAGCAGGGGGAAUGGAGAUUACACCCACAGACGGUGAGCCUUUUAUGGCGGAUAUUCGGAGAGGCGAGAGUGGACUUAUUCGCGUCGAGCACGACUACGCAUUGCCCGCUGUGUAUGCUUUUCCUCCAAUUCGUUUAAUUCCAGCGGUGUUGUCCAGGAUACGGCUGGACAGAGUGGAGCAGCUGCUGCUGGUGGCUCCGUGGUGGCCCACACAGCCGUGGUUUGCGGAACUGGUCAGUCUAAUAGUGGGCUCUCCAUGGGAGAUUCCCCUCAGACAGGACUUACUAUCGCAAGCACGAGGGAUGAUUUGGCACCCGAGGCCAGAUCUGUGGAAACUGUGGGCGUGGCCUCUGAGCGGAGUGAGUUAAUAUGUCCCGGUCUUUCUGCGGAAACCUCCGAGACUAUUAUGAAUUCCAGAGCAGCAUCUACGAGACGCUUAUAUGCUUUCAAAUGGAAGCUGUUUACGACCUGGUGUGGUUUUCGUAGUAUAGACCCAGUUUACUGCCCAGUGGCUUCAGUACUGGAGUUCCUUCAAGACCGUUUCUCUGAUGGAGUAACGCCAGCAACUUUGAAAGUUUAUGUGGCAGCCAUUUCAGCUAACCACGUAUAUAUGGAUGGUGCUUCAGUGGGCCGUCAUCCGCUGGUCUCUCGCUUUUUACAAGGUGCGCGACGGCUGAGGCCUUUCCGCCCUGUGCGAGUUCCCUCAUGGGAUUUAUCUAUUGUACUGCAAGGUCUAUCAGGACAUCCGUUUGAGCCCUUGGAAACCGUACCGGAUAAAAUCCUGACCUUGAAGACAGUUCUUCUUAUGGCCUUAUCCUCCCUCAAGAGAGUUGGGGAUUUACAGGCUCUUUCUGUUUCGCCGUCGUGCAUGGAUUUUGCACCAGGCUUUGUGAAGGUAUUGCUGCGACCGAGGCCUAAUUAUGUCCCUAAAGUCGCUUCGAACCCCUUUCAUUUUCAGCAGACGGUCCUGGAGGCUUUACCCCCUGCUGGGAUAGGAUCAGAAGAUCUAAGUCUUUGCCCUGUCAGAGCGCUUAAGACUUAUGUCGAUCGAUCAGCCUCAUGGCGUGAGUCCGACCAGCUGUUUGUCUGUUUUGGACACAAGAAUAGAGGCCAUGCUGUCACAAAGCAACGCAUGUCCCAUUGGUUGGUGGAGGCAAUAUCUUUAGCCUAUGAGGCGCGCGGUCUCGCCUCGCCUCUAGGAGUCAAAGCUCAUUCCACUAGAGCAGUCGCUUCCUCUCAGGCGGCCCUCAGUGGAUCUUCUAUGGCUGAUAUCUGUGCUGCGGCAGGAUGGUCCUCACCGAGCACUUUUAUAAAGUUUUACAGUCUGGAUGUAAGGACGGCUCCUGGCUCCCGGGUUCUCUCCGCUUGAGCAGAUGCUUCCUUGGAUCCCAGCUAUCAGGUACGUCAGGCGUUAUGGUAUAGGGUUCCCAUACGGUGACGUCACCGCAGCAUCGAAGUNAUAUAUACACAGUCAUGGUCAAAAGUUUUGGCAGUGAAAUACAUUUUAUGUUUUGCAAAGUUUGCUGCUUCAGUAUUUGUAGAUUAUUUUCCACGUUUUUUAUGGUAUACUGAAAAACAAUGAUAAGCAUAUCAUAAGUUUUAAAGGCUUUUACUGGCAAAAAAAUAUGAGUCGUCAAUAUUUACAGUGUUGACCCUUGUUCUUCAAAACCUCUGCAAUUCGCUCUGGCCUGGUGGAUAUUAGCUUCUGGGACAAAUCCUCACUGAUGGCGAUCCAUUCUUGUCUUAUUAGUUCUCAGAGUUGAUCACAAUUUGUGGGCUUCUGCUUGUCCACUCGCCUUUUGAGGACUGUCCACAGGUUCUCUGUGGGAUUGAGAUCAGGGGUGUUCCCUGGCCACGGAUCCAAAAUGCCAAUGUAAUGAUCUUUGAGCCACUUCUUUAUCACUCUUUUUGCUCAUGGAUCAUUGGAAGAAGUCGCUCUUGCAGGACGUUUUGUAGGGCUGUGCAAAAAAUCAAAUGCGGUUUUCAUGCGCAUCUCCUCAGUAAAGGCACUCCUGUGAUUAGUAGUAUAUCUCCAGCACAUGCGUUCAGAUCAGGAUUGCCAGGUUUUCAAAACAAAACCUGCCCAAUUGCUUCUCAAAACUAGUCCAAUCGCGUUUCGUUCCGGGCAAUAAAAAUACACGUUUUUGGCA
ensembl:lncRNA